GGGAAAGGGGGAUGUGAAAAAAAAUGGGGAGGGGGAUUAAAUUUUUCUCAUUUCAGAUUUCAUAAAUAAAAAGAAAAAUUUCUUAAAACAUUUUUUUGAGAGGAUUAAUAUUCAACAGCAUAGUGAAUUGCUCAAAGGCAAAAAAAAUAUUUUAAGUUCAUUAGACCACAUUCAUUCUGUGUCAGAAACCUAUGCUGUGUCAACUAUUUAAUCACAAUCCAAAUUUAGAGCUAAUCCCAGCUUGAAUGUUGUGUCCAUACUUGCCCCAACCGUUCAGGGUUCAACCUCUGCGGUCGUAUAAAGCUGCACCCUGCGG
rnacentral:lncRNA from 1 species